GACGAACGCUGGCGGCGUGCUUAACACAUGCAAGUCGAACGGUGACGAAUGGAGCUUGCUCUGUUCUGAUCAGUGGCGAACGGGUGAGUAACACGUGAGUAACCUGCCCCUGACUCUGGAAUAACUUCGGGAAACCGAAGCUAAUACCGGAUAUGACACAGAGCCGCAUGGUUUCUGUGUGGAAAGUUUUCGGUUGGGGAUGGACUCGCGGCCUAUCAGCUUGUUGGUGAGGUAAUGGCUCACCAAGGCGACGACGGGUAGCCGGCCUGAGAGGGCGACCGGCCACACUGGGACUGAGACACGGCCCAGACUCCUACGGGAGGCAGCAGUGGGGAAUAUUGCACAAUGGGCGAAAGCCUGAUGCAGCGACGCCGCGUGAGGGAUGAAGGCCUUCGGGUUGUAAACCUCUUUCAGUAGGGAAGAAGCGCAAGUGACGGUACCUACAGAAGAAGCACCGGCUAACUACGUG
rnacentral:rRNA from 1 species